GACGAACGCUGGCGGCGUGCCUAAUACAUGCAAGUAGAACGCUGAAGGAGGAGCUUGCUUCUCUGGAUGAGUUGCGAACGGGUGAGUAACGCGUAGGUAACCUGCCUGGUAGCGGGGGAUAACUAUUGGAAACGAUAGCUAAUACCGCAUAAGAGUAGAUGUUGCAUGACAUUUGCUUAAAAGGUGCAAUUGCAUCACUACCAGAUGGACCUGCGUUGUAUUAGCUAGUUGGUGGGGUAACGGCUUACCAAGGCGACGAUACAUAGCCGACCUGAGAGGGUGAUCGGCCACACUGGGACUGAGACACGGCCCAGACUCCUACGGGAGGCAGCAGUAGGGAAUCUUCGGCAAUGGACGGAAGUCUGACCGAGCAACGCCGCGUGAGUGAAGAAGGUUUUCGGAUCGUAAAGCUCUGUUGUAAGAGAAGAACGAGUGUGAGAGUGGAAAGUUCACACUGUGACGGCAUCUGACCAGAAAGGGACGGCUAACUACGUG
rnacentral:rRNA from 1 species